GAAAGGAAAGGGAAAUGGAAUGAGAGAAAAGAAUGUAGAAUGAGAGAUGUGUUAUGAAUGAAGGGAUGAAGAAUGAGGGAUGAGUCGUGUGGUAUUUAUAGGUGAAAGUGGGGUGAAGUUUACUAAAAAUAAAAUUUUAAAAACCCUCAAUCUUCUCCAUUGCAUGGCCGGCAACAAAUUGUGGAAAGGGAGGUGGUUUGGUUGAUUAUUUC
rnacentral:lncRNA from 1 species